rnacentral:rRNA from 1 species
UACAUGGGGUGCAAACGUUGCUCGGAAUUAUUGGGCGUAAAGCGCACGUAGGCGGUUUGUUAAGUCGGAUGUGAAAUCCCUCGGCUCAACUGAGGAAGUGCAUCCGAAACUGGCAGGCUUGAGUACUAAAGAGGGUCGCGGAAUUCCCGGUGUAGAGGUGAAAUUCGUAGAUAUCAGGAGGAACACCGGUGGCGAAGGCGGCUACCUGGACAGAGUCUGACGCUGAGGCACGAAAGCUAGGGGAGCAAACAGG